GGGCUGCAGCAAGGAAUUUUGUGCAAUGGGCGAAAGCCUGACACAGCGACGCCGCGUGGGGGAUGAAGGCCCUCGGGUUGUAAACCCCUUUUCUCAGGGAAGAAUAAUGACGGUACCUGAGGAAUAAGCCUCGGCUAACUACGUGCCAGCAGCCGCGGUAAUACGUAGGAGGCAAGCGUUAUCCGGAUUUACUGGGCGUAAAGAGGGCGCGGGCGGUCUUUCAAGUCAAAUGUUAAAUCUCCCGGCUUAACCGGGAGGGAUCACUUGAUACUGUUAGGCUAGAGGGCAGCAGGAGGAGGUGGAAUUCUCGGUGUAGUGGUGAAAUGCGUAGAUAUCGGGAGGAACACCAGUGGCGAAGGCGGCCUCCUAGGCUGUUUCUGACGCUGAGGCCCGAAAGCGUGGGUAGCAAACAGGAUUAGAUACCCCAGUAGUC
rnacentral:rRNA from 1 species